GACGAACGCUGGCGGCGUGCUUAACACAUGCAAGUCGAACGAAGUGGCGAACGGGAGAGUAACGCGUAAUUAACCUGCCCUUCAGAGGGGGACAAAAGUUAGAAACGACUGCUAAUACCGCAUACUGAAGGAGGGAAUUGCGUCUGAUUAGCUAGUUGGAGGGGUAACGGCCCACCAAGGCGAUGAUCAGUAGCCGGUCUGAGAGGAUGAACGGCCCCCUUGGGACUGAGCCACGGCCCAGACUCCUACGGGUGGCAGCAGUGGGGAAUCUUCUGCAAUGGACGAAAGUCUGACGGAGCAACGCCGCGUGAGUGAUGACGGCCUUCGGGUUGUAAAGCUCUGUUAAUCGGGACGCGUUACCGGAAUAGAAAGCCACGGCUAACUACGUGCCAGCAGCCGCGGUAAUAC
rnacentral:rRNA from 1 species